GAUGAACGCUGGCGGCGUGCCUAAUACAUGCAAGUCGAGCGAACAGACGAGGAGCUUGCUCCUCUGACGUUAGCGGCGGACGGGUGAGUAACACGUGGAUCACCUACCUAUAAGACUGGGAUAACUUCGGGAAACCGGAGCUAAUACCGGAUAAUAUAUUGCACCGCAUGGUUCAAUAGUGAAAGACGGUUUUGCUGUCACUUAUAGAUGGAUCCGCGCCGCAUUAGCUAGUUGGUAAGGUAACGGCUUACCAAGGCAACGAUGCGUAGCCGACCUGAGAGGGUGGUAGGCCACACGGGAACUGGAACAGGGUCCAGACGCCUGCGGGAGGCAGCAGUAGGGAAUCUUCCGCAAUGGGCGAAAGCUUGACGGAGCAACGCCGAGUGAGUGAUGAAGAUCUUCGGAGCGUAAAACUCUGUUAUUAGGGAAGAACAAAUGUGUAAGUAACUAUGCACGUCUUGACGGUACCUAAUCAGAAAGCCACGGCUAACUACGUG
rnacentral:rRNA from 1 species